ensembl:lncRNA
CCCCCGCCCACCACCCACUGCGUCCGCCACGGGGACCCCCGGCGGAUGGGGGGGGUCGCACCGUCAGCCGUGGCGACGCCGGGCGUUACGUCUGCACCGCCACCAACCGGCACGGAUCGGCGCGCCGCAGCGUCGAUGUCACCGUCGAGUACCAACCCAGUAUGGGCGAUGCCGACUGCCCGGCGCGGCGGCUGUGGGUGGAGGGCACCGUGGCAGAGCUGCAAUGCAACGCCAAUGGGAACCCCCCCCCCGACGUGGCCUGCGGUAAAUUGGGGACCCCCGCGCCCCCCCGGUGGUACCAACGUCACCCGGCCCACGCAGGCACCUAUCAGUGCCGGGCCAGCAAUGUGCACGGAACAGCGCUGCGCAACGUCACCGUCACCGUGGAGUACGGCCCCGCAGCCCUCACCCUCCGCGUGUGCCGUCCCCCAACGUGAGCCGCGGCAGCUUCAGCGUGGAGUGCGGCGCCGACGGGUCCCCCCCCACGUUCGGGUGGGCGCUGCCCGCCGCCCCCAACCUCCGCUUCGGGGCCCACAACCGAUCGGUGGCGGUGGAGAACGCGCGGCCGCCAACCGCGGGGAUACACCUGCGUGGCGUUCAACCCGCACGGCCGCACCGCCCGCAGCGUGGAGGUGCGCGUGGAUGAGAGCCGUCUGUCCCUACUGCUGUCGCUGUCCCUGCUGGGCUCCGUCACCGCGCUGGCGGCGGCCGCGUGGGGCGUUUAUUACAUGAAGAGCACCGCCUGUAAGAAGGGAGAGUACAACGUGCGCGACGCCGAGGGCUCCUCCGAGGCCGCCCGCCUACACCGGGGGGACAGCGGGGGGCAGCGGGAGCUGUUCGGGAUCCCCCUCACCCCCACCUGAGGGACGGCGACGCCCCGCGCCCCCCCCGGGGAAGGGGGAGGUGGGGACGCCCCGCCCGAGGGGGGGCGGUGGCGGUGGGUGGCACCGCGCUGUCUGCGAGGAGGUGUGGUGGCUGUCGUCCUUUGUUGUCCCCAAGGAACGGUGUUGGAUGUCAACGUGUUGUCCCCAACAAAUGGUGUUGGAUGUCCUCAAGGAAUGGCGUUGGAUGCCACCGUAUUGUCUCCAAAGAAUGGCAUUGGAUGUCACUGUAUUGUCCACAAUGGAACAUUGUUGGAUGUCCCCAAGGAAUGGCGUUGGAUGUCACCGUAUUGUCUCCAAGGAACGGCGUUGGAUGGCCUCAGUGAAUGGUGUUGGUGUCACCGUAUUGUCCCCAAGGAACAGCGUUGGAUGUCACCAUAUUGUCCCCAAAGAAUGGCAUUGGAUGUCACUGUAUUGUCUCCAAGGAACGGCAUUGGAUGUCACCGUAUUGUCCCCAAAGAAUGGCAUUGGAUGUCAACGUAUUGUCCCCAAGGAACGGUGUUGGAUGUCACCGUAUUGUCCCCAACAAAUGGUGUUGGAUGUCCUCAAGGAAUGGUGUUGGUGUCACCGUAUUGUCCCCAAGGAACGGUGUUGGACGUCCCCAAGGAACAGCGUUGGAUGUCACCGUAUUGUCCCCAACAAAUGGUGUUGGAUGUCACCGUGUUGUCCCCAAGGAACAGCAUUGGAUGUCACCAUACUGUCCCCAAGGAAUGACACUGAAUGUCACCGUAUUGUCCCCAAGGAACAGCGUUGGAUGUCACUGUGCUGUCCCCAAGGAGCGGUGUUGGUGUCACCAUAUUGUCCCCAACAAAUGGUGUUGGAUGUCACCAUAUUGUCCCCAAGGAACAGUGUUAGACGUCCCCAAGGAACAGCGUUGGAUGUCACCGUAUUGUCCCCAAGGAAUGGUGUUGGAUGUCACCGUGUUGUCCCCAAGGAACGGUGUUGUUGGAUGUCUUCAAUGAAUGGUGUUGGUGACACCGUAUUGUUCCCAAGGAACAGUGUUGGAUGUCACCGUGUUGUCCCCAAGGAAAGGUGUUGGAUGUCCUCAAGGAAUGGUGUUGGAUGUCACCAUAUUGUCCCCAAGGAACAGUGUUGGAUGUCACCAUAUUGUCCCCAACAAAUGGUGUUGGAUGUCCUCAAGGAAUGGUGUUGGUGUCACCGUAUUGUCUCCAAAGAAUGGCAUUGGAUGUCACCAUAUUAUCCCCAAGGAACGGCGUUGGAUGUCACCAUAUUGUCCCCAAGGAACAUUGUUGGAUGUCCUCAAGGAACAGCAUUGGAUGUCACCGUAUUGUCUCCAAGGAACGGCGUUGGAUGUCCUCAAGGAAUGGUGUUGGUGACACCAUAUUGUCCUCAAGGAACGGCGUGGGAUGUCACUGUGUUGUCCCCAACAAAUGGUGUUGGAUGUCCCCAAGGAACGGCGUUGGAUGUCACCGUAUUGUCCCCAAGGAACGGCGUUGGAUGUCUUUAAUGAAUGGUGUUGGUGACACCAUAUUGUCCCCAAGGAACGGUGUUGUUGGAUGUCCUCAAGGAAUGGUGUUGGUGUCACCGUAUUGUCCCCAAGGAACGGCAUUGGAUGUCACCAUAAUGUCCCCAACAAAUGGUGUUGGAUGUCCCCAAGGAACGGUGUUGGAUGUCACCGUAUUGUCCCCAAGAAACACUGUUGGAUGUCCCCAAGGAACAGCAUUGGAUGUCCCCAAGGAAUGGUGUUGGAUGUCCUCAAGGAAUGGUGUUGGUGACACCAUAUUGUCCCCAAGGAACAUUGUUGGAUGUCCCCAAGGAAUGGCAUUGGAUGUCACCGUAUUGUCCCCAAGGAGCGGUGUUGGAGUCACCAUAUUGUCCCCAAGGAAUGGCACUGGAUGUCACCGUGCUGUCCCCAAGGAAUGGUGUUGGUGUCACCAUAUUGUCCCCAAGGAGCGGUGUUGGUGUCACCGUAUUGUCCCCAAGGAACAGUGUUGGAUGUCACCGUGCUGUCCCCAAGGAAUGGCACUGAAUGGCACCAUAUUAUCCCCAAAGAACAGCGUUGGUGUCACCGUGCUGUCCCCAAGGAAUGAUGUUGGGUGUCACCAUAUUGUCCCCAAGGAGCGGUGUUGGAUGUCCUCAAGGAAUGGUGUUGGUGUCACCGUAUUGUCCCCAAGGAAUGACACUGAAUGUCACCGUAUUGUCCCCAAGGAACGGCGUUGGAUGUCACCGUGCUGUCCCCAAGGAGCAGUGUUGGUGUCACCAUAUUGUCCCCAAGGAAUGGCAUUGGAUGUCACCAUAUUGUCCCCAAGGAACGGUGUUGGUGUCACCGUGCUGUCCCCAAGGAGUGGCAUUGAGUGUCACCAUAUUGUCCCUAAGGAAUGAUGUUGGGUGUCACCAUACUGUCCCCAAGGAGCGGUGUUGGUGUCACCGUAUUUCCCCAAGGAACAGCGUUGGAUGUCACCAUAAUGUCCCCAAGGAAUGACACUGAAUGUCACCAUAUUGUCCCCAAGGAAUGGCGUUGGAUGUCACCAUAUUGUCCCCAAGGAGCAGUGUUGGAUGUCCUCAAGGAAUGGCAUUGGGUGUCACCGUAUUGUCCCCAAGGAACAGCGUUGGAUGUCACCAUACUGUCCCCAAGGAAUGACACUGAAUGUCACUGUAUUGUCCCUAAGGAAUGAUGUUGGGUGUCACCAUGCUGUCCCCAAUGAGCGGUGUUGGUGUCCCCAUACUGUCCCCAAGGAAUGGCGUUGGAUGUCCCAUACUGUCCCCAAGGAAUGACACUGAAUGUCACCAUACUGUCCCCAAGGAGCAGUGUUGGUGUCCCCAUACUGUCCCCAAGGAAUGGUGUUGGUGUCCCCAUACUGUCCCCAAGGAAUGACAAUGAAUGUUCCCCAACUGUCCCCAAGGAAUGGUGUUGGUGUCCCCAUGCUGUCCCCGGAGCAGUGUUG